rnacentral:rRNA from 1 species
GACGAACGCUGGCGGCGUGCCUAAUACAUGCAAGUAGGACGCAGUUGCGAACGGGUGAGUAACGCGUAGGUAACUACCUAUUAGAGGGGGAUAACUAUUGGAAACGAUAGCUAAUACCGCAUACUAGUAGAUGGACCUGCGUUGUAUUAGCUAGUAGGUAGGGUAAAGGCCUACCUAGGCAACGAUACAUAGCCGACCUGGGAGGGUGAUCCGCCAACAUGGGGCUUAGACCAGGGCCAGACUCCUACGGGAGGCAGCAGUAGGGAAUCUUUGGCAAUGGGGGGAACCCUGACCGAGCAACGCCGCGUGAUUGAAGAAGGUUUUCGGGUUGUAAAGCUCUGUUGUUAAGGAAGCGGUACUUAACCAGAAAGGGACGGCUAACUACGUGCCAGCAGCCGCGGUAAUUC